rnacentral:rRNA from 1 species
CCGCGGUAUCCUAACCGUGCGAAGGUAGCGUAAUCACUUGUUCUUUAAAUGAGGACUAGUAUGAAUGGCAUCACGAAGGUUAUACUGUCUCCCCUUUUUAAUCAGUGAAACUAAUCUUCCCGUGAAGAAGCGGGAAUAAAAUUAUAAGACGAGAAGACCCUAUGGAGCUUUAGACUACGCAACAAUUGCUAUUCACUUUUUACCCCAUGGAGCCCCAACCAUAUUUUCUCAUAUUGAUUGCUAGUCUUGGGUUGGGGUGACCGCGGAGUAAAAUAUAACCUCCACGAUGAAAGAAACUUAAUUUCUUAACCCAGAGUUACAACUCUAAGUACCAAAAAUUUGACAUUAAUUGAUCCAAUUUAUUGAUCAACGAACCAAGUUACCCUAGGGAUAACAGCGCAAUCUACUUCAAGAGUCCCUAUCGACAAGUAGGUUUACGACCUCGAUGUUGGAUCAGGGUAUCCUAGUGGUGCAGCCGCUACUAAAGGUUCGUUUGUUCAACGAUUAAAACCCUACGUGAUCUGAGUUCAGACCGGA